GGCAUUUAAAUCUAUUAACAUUUCUUUUUUUCUUUUUUCUUUGUUCUUUUUAGAUCUACAUGGCAGUAGAGUGUAUUUUGGCAUAUUGUACAUACAUUUCUCCAAAGAUUCCAGUCCAACUGGCCAAGGUCCACUGCCUGGGUCCUGGCCAGAGCCUGCAUCAAAGUCAAAGCAUCCAGCUCCAUAUUUACAGGGACAAAGGUGACAUCUAAACUAUUUUACAAAAGAAUAGCCUACUGAGAUUUCGUCAGACCCUAAAUGACCCAAGAUAAGGGAACUACCAUACUCAAGCCUGCUCUAGCCCUCCACCUGGAAGAAGAGACACACUCAACACCAGCGCCCACUGCUCUUCCAUAUGAGAGAGGAAAACAUCCAACCACAGCUGCCUCCAGACAUAUCUUGUCCCAUGAGAGUGGGGAAAAUGAGGAAACCGAUGCAGCUCCUUUCAAGAGCCCACACUCACUAAAAGACUGAGAUAUAAUCAUACGGCCAGGAAUACCUUCCCUCACCAAGCAGGGGAAAUACAAAGCAAAACUAAACAAACAAAAAAACAUUCACAUUUUAUACUCAAACAGCAGAAAAUCAAAGGGUGAGGAAGUCAUUUUCUAAAGUCCAGUAAAGAAUGGUGAUUAUCCUGGUUUAGAUCUAGGAAUGUCCCCCCAAAAGCACAGGUAUUAGGUAAUGCACAAAUAUUCAGAGGUGAAAAGAUUGGAUUAUGAGUUCUGCAAACUUAUAGGUGGACUACUCCUUUAGAUGAAUUAAUCUGAAUGGACCACUGAGUGCUAACUGCAGACAGAUGGGUGUGGCUGGAGAAACUAGGUCACAGAAGGUGCCUUUUGAGUGCACAAUGUAACAUUAAGAAACAGUAUGUAGGGCCCCAGGCUUCUCUCUUUGCGCCCCCCUAUCUUUCUGUGCCUAUUUAUGUAUUUAUUCAUUUAGACCAGAGAUUAAAUCUGGGGCACCUAACCACUGAGCUACAUCCUCAGCCCUUUUAUGUUUAUUUUGACACAGGGUCUCACUAAGUUGCUUAGGUCCCUGCUAAGUUGCUGAGGCUGGCUUUGAACUUGCAAUCCUCCUGCCCUCCUGACUCAGCCUCUGGAGCCUCUGGGAUUACAGGCACACACCACCACACCUGGUUCUCUCUGCUUCUUGUCUGCCAUGGGCUGAGCAGUUUCCUCUGCCAUGCCCUUCCACCAUGAUGUUCUACCUCACCCUGCACCCAGGGAUGGAGAUGGCAGAACCCAAAGUAAACUUUUCUUGCUCUAAGUUAUUCUUGCCAAGUAUUUCAUUCACAGGGACAAAAAGCUGAUUAACAUAGGGACUAUAGUUAAUAUUUCAAAGUUGCUAAAAUGUAGUUUAAAUUUUCUCACAUAAAGAAAUAAGUCUGGGAAGCAAUGGGUAGGAUAUAGUAGUUGACCUGACAUAGUGUAUCCUAACAUUAUAUUAGGCCCUUAGGCCCUAUAUAUGUGUGUGUGUGUGUGUGUGUGUGUGUGUGUGUGUGAUUAUCUGUCAAUUAAAAUCAUGAUAAUCAAUGAGCCUUUAGACAAUAUAUCAAAGAAAAUAGAAGAUAAAAAUGAGGAAGAUUGGAAGUUACAAGGGUGGUAUCCAUACAGAUCCCAUGGACAUUAGAAAGACAGUAAAGGAAUACCACAAACAACUCCAUGUUCUUAAACUCAAGAAACUACAGGAAAUGUACUGAUUUCUUGCAAGACAAAUAUGCUAGAUUUAACACAAAAAGAAAUGAUCAAUCUGAACAGAACUGUAACUUAUCAAAGAUACAGAACCAAUAAGGCCAAGCCACCAGUUCAAGAUAGGUUCCUGGUGAAUCCUAACAAACAUUUAAGAUAGAAAUUAUAUCAAUUCUCUAAGAUCUCUUCCAGAAGAUUAAAGCAAAGGAGCUACCUUCUAACUCACUGUAUCAAACCAGCUCUAAUGUAAUAACAAAAUCAGACAAAGAUUAGAGGAAAUCUACAGACUAAGUCCUAAAAGAAGAUAAGAAAACAUAACAAUGAAGUCUUAGCAAAUAUGACCCAGAAACAGACCCACAUCAGUACAGCCAACCUGUGUACAGUAAAGGAGCAGAGGGGACACAGCAGCAUGGAGCAGAGGUCCUUCCCGCAAGUGGGGCUGCCUGACCUGGACGUCCCCAUCACCACGGCUACUGACACAUGUGGGAGGAGAGACUCAGAGAGAAAGGAGGCAGAAGGGGGAAGAAACACUCCUUGUAAAAUAAGGGCUGGAAACUUGGCAAAUUUGUUAUAAAACACAGACCUCUGGAUUCAAUGUUUCUUCUUUGUAAAAAAAAAAAUCCAUUGCGAUGCACAUCACAGGAUGCAUCUUUGGUAUGCAUAUCACACAUGAAUACUUGGGGUUGCAUCUCUGUGUGUGUGUGUGUGCCUCUGUGUGUCCAUGUCUGUGUUUGUAUAGAAAUUCUCAAAAAUAUCUUCUGCCAUUGAACAUUCAUUGAUUUUGGAAUCAAACACACUAGAAAUACCCAAAAAAUUCUUUGAAUUUUUAAAAAACUUUCUAUACUGUUCUUCUGAAUUCUUAAUAAUGGUAUAUUUUAAUUUAGUUAUUUGUUGUUGUUCAAGACCCUCUAACUGAAGAUAAUAAAAUUAACUAGAAAAAAAUGAUGAAGAAAUUUUAUUCAAAAUUCACAAAAAUACAUACAGAAGACAUCUCAGUUCUGUGUCUGAGUUGAUGCAAGGCAAGGAACUACAAUGUGGGAAGCUGCAACUGCAGAG